UAGGGAAUAUUGGGCAAUGGGCGAAAGCCUGACCCAGCCAUGCCGCGUGCAGGACGAAGGCCCUCUGGGUUGUAAACUGCUUUUGCAGGAGAAGAAAAGCCGGUUUGCGAACUGGUCUGACGGUAUUCUGCGAAUAAGCCACGGCUAACUACGUGCCAGCAGCCGCGGUAAUACGUAGGUGGCAAGCGUUGUCCGGAUUUAUUGGGUUUAAAGGGUGCGUAGGCGGAUGCUUAAGUCAGAGGUGAAAGACGGCCGCUCAACGGUCGCAGUGCCUUUGAUACUGGGUAUCUUGAGUGCAGACGAGGUCUGUGGAAUGGAUGGUGUAGCGGUGAAAUGCUUAGAUACCAUCCAGAACACCAAUUGCGAAGGCAGCAGACUAGGGUGCAACUGACGCUGAGGC
rnacentral:rRNA from 1 species